rnacentral:rRNA from 1 species
GGGGAGUGAAAUAGAACCUGAAACCGUGUACGUACAAGCAGUAGGAGCACCUUCGUGGUGUGACUGCGUACCUUUUGUAUAAUGGGUCAGCGACUUAUAUUCAGUGGCAAGGUUAACCGUAUAGGGGAGCCGUAGCGAAAGCGAGUCUUAACUGGGCGCUCAGUCUCUGGAUAUAGACCCGAAACCGGGUGAUCUAGCCAUGGGCAGGUUGAAGGUUGAGUAACAUCAACUGGAGGACCGAACCGACUAAUGUUGAAAAAUUAGCGGAUGACUUGUGGCUAGGGGUGAAAGGCCAAUCAAACUCGGAGAUAGCUGGUUCUCCCCGAAAGCUAUUUAGGUAGCGCCUCGGACGAAUACUACUGGGGGUAGAGCACUGUUAAGGCUAGGGGGUCAUCCCGACUUACCAACCCUUUGCAAACUCCGAAUAC